rnacentral:lncRNA from 1 species
AACUCAAACAGUCCUGUGACUCCUCACAAAGACUACCCUGGCCAAGGUUUUGCUAAAUUAAAAUACGACUGUACACAGCUCCUAAACUGGAGUGGUCAAUCCCAUCUUGACACACGCACCGACAAGUCAAGUACUUGACUACACCCAGCAGCCUUCCAUCACUGAAUUAGAAAUUCAGGUAGUCCAGUGCCUAAGUGCAGUGAGUUGCUUGCAAGUCACCAUGGCGGUCUCAGGUCGGAGGGAUAUUUAUAUCCAUAUU